rnacentral:rRNA from 1 species
GACGAACGUUGGCGGCGUGCUUAAUACAUGCAAGUCAACUGAAGCAGUGGUAGCAAUAUCGCUGUGGAGGUGGCGCACGGGUGAGUAACACGUAGGUAAUCUGCCUUCAGGUCUGGCAUAACUCCGGGAAACCGGGGCUAAUAGCAGAUGAUGCAGCGGCUCGACAUCGAGACAGUUGUUAAAGCUAUGGCGCCUGAAGAUGAGCCUGCGUCUGAUUAGCUAGUUGGCGGGGUAACGGCCCACCAAGGCAACGAUCAGUAGCUGGUCUGAGAGGAUGAUCAGCCACACUGGAACUGAGACACGGUCCAGACUCCUACGGGAGGCAGCAGUAAGGAAUAUUGCUCAAUGGGAGAAAUCCUGAAGCAGCAACGCCGCGUGAGGGACGAAGGGCUUUUGAUUGUAAACCUCUGUAGUGAGAGAAAAAAAUCCCAAUCUUUGGGACAUGAUGGUAUCUCAAAAGUAAGCCCCGGCUAACUACGUG